CUAUACAUGCAGUCGAACGAGUUCUGAUUAUUGAAAGGUGCUUGCAUCUUGAUUUAAUUUUGAACGAGUGGCGGACGGGUGAGUAACACGUGGGUAACCUGCCCUUAAGUGGGGGAUAACAUUUGGAAACAGAUGCUAAUACCGCAUAAAUCCAAGAACCGCAUGGUUCUUGGCUGAAAGAUGGCGUAAGCUAUCGCUUUUGGAUGGACCCGCGGCGUAUUAGCUAGUUGGUGAGGUAACGGCUCACCAAGGCAAUGAUACGUAGCCGAACUGAGAGGUUGAUCGGCCACAUUGGGACUGAGACACGGCCCAAACUCCUACGGGAGGCAGCAGUAGGGAAUCUUCCACAAUGGACGCAAGUCUGAUGGAGCAACGCCGCGUGAGUGAAGAAGGCUUUCGGGUCGUAAAACUCUGUUGUUGGAGAAGAAUGGUCGGCAGAGUAACUGUUGUCGGCGUGACGGUAUCCAACCAGAAAGCCACGGCUAACUACGUGCCAGCAGCCGCGGUAAUACGUAGGUGGCAAGCGUUAUCCGGAUUUAUUGGGCGUAAAGCGAGCGCAGGCGGUUUUUUAAGUCUGAUGUGAAAGCCCUCGGCUUAACCGAGGAAGUGCAUCGGAAACUGGGAAACUUGAGUGCAGAAGAGGACAGUGGAACUUCCAUGUGUAGCGGUGAAAUGCGUAGAUAUAUGGAAGAACACCAGUGGCGAAGGCGGCUGUCUGGUCUGUAACUGACGCUGAGGCUCGAAAGCAUGGGUAGCGAACAGGAUUAGAUACCCUGGUAGUCCAUGCCGUAAACGAUGAAUGCUAGGUGUUGGAGGGUUUCCGCCCUUCAGUGCCGCAGCUAACGCAUUAAGCAUUCCGCCUGGGGAGUACGACCGCAAGGUUGAAACUCAAAGGAAUUGACGGGGGCCCGCACAAGCGGUGGAGCAUGUGGUUUAAUUCGAAGCAACGCGAAGAACCUUACCAGGUCUUGACAUCUUUUGAUCACCUGAGAGAUCAGGUUUCCCCUUCGGGGGCAAAAUGACAGGUGGUGCAUGGUUGUCGUCAGCUCGUGUCGUGAGAUGUUGGGUUAAGUCCCGCAACGAGCGCAACCCUUAUGACUAGUUGCCAGCAUUUAGUUGGGCACUCUAGUAAGACUGCCGGUGACAAACCGGAGGAAGGUGGGGAUGACGUCAAAUCAUCAUGCCCCUUAUGACCUGGGCUACACACGUGCUACAAUGGAUGGUACAACGAGUUGCGAGACCGCGAGGUCAAGCUAAUCUCUUAAAGCCAUUCUCAGUUCGGACUGUAGGCUGCAACUCGCCUACACGAAGUCGGAAUCGCUAGUAAUCGCGGAUCAGCACGCCGCGGUGAAUACGUUCCCGGGCCUUGUACACACCGCCCGUCACACCAUGAGAGUUUGUAACACCCGAAGCCGGUGGCGUAACCCUUUUAGGGAGCGAGCCGUCUAAGGUGGGACAAAUGAUUAGGGUGAAGUCGU
rnacentral:rRNA from 2 species